rnacentral:sRNA from 1 species
ACUGGGUGUUGGUCGCGAUUCUGUGCGCAGUUCAAUAAAAGGUGCUCGCAAAAGAAGUACACGCGAGCACCAGGUUUCCGCCUUAGCGGAGGUCUGGUGGUUCGGUACGACCCGGGGAUCGAUUCAUCUGUCGAUAACCGCCAAACCUAGUUUAUCCCGAGAAGGUAUAUCAUCAUGGCAACUGGAACUGUUAAGUGGUUCAACGCUGAAAAGGGCUUCGGCUUCAUCGCUCCGGACGACGGCUCCUCCGACGUCUUCGUCCACUACUCCGAGAUCCAGGGCGCGGGCUUCCGCACCCUCGAGGAGAACCAGCAGGUUGAGUUCGAGGUCGGCGAAGGCGCCAAGGGCCCGCAGGCUCAGCAGGUUCACCCGCUCUAAGCGAGCGUCGACGGUUCUGACGUAGAACCAGUCUGAUCGCUGAAACCGCCCCGGCACAUGCCGGGGCGGUUUUG